rfam:Myotis brandtii contig271831, whole genome shotgun sequence.
GGCAGUUCUCAGGUGACACACCCCAGAAUCACCCAGAAUCAGGCUCCCUCCUCUCUGGUUCCGGGUGCAUCACCAGAGAACCAUA